ACUCAAAUGAAUUGACGGGGGCCCGCACAAGCGGUGGAGCAUGUGGUUUAAUUCGAUGCAACGCGAAGAACCUUACCUACCCUUGACAUCCACGGAAUCUGGCAGAGAUGCCGGAGUGCCGCAAGGAACCGUGAGACAGGUGCUGCAUGGCUGUCGUCAGCUCGUGUUGUGAGAUGUUGGGUUAAGUCCCGUAACGAGCGCAACCCUUGUUCUCAGUUACCAGCGCGUAAAGGCGGGGACUCUGAGGAGACUGCCGGUGAUGAACCGGAGGAAGGCGGGGACGACGUCAAGUCAUCAUGGCCUUUAUGGGUAGGGCUACACACGUGCUACAAUGGGUUGUACAGAGGGUGGCCAACCUGCGAAGGGGAGCCAAUCCCAGAAAGCAACUCUUAGUCCGGACUGGAGUCUGCAACUCGACUCCACGAAGUCGGAAUCGCUAGUAAUCGCGAAUCAGAAUGUCGCGGUGAAUACGUUCCCGGGCCUUGUACACACCGCCCGU
rnacentral:rRNA from 1 species